rnacentral:misc_RNA from 1 species
GAUCCGUAGGUGAACCUGCGGAGGGAUCAUUACAGAGUUCACGCCCUACCGGGUAGAUCUCCCACCCUAUGUUAUUAUUACUUUGUUGCUUUGGCGGGCCGUUACGCUCCGGCCCUACUACCGGCCCCGGCUGGUAAGCGCCCGCCAGAGGACCCAAAACCCAGAAUAUUAGUUUCUUCUGAGUACUAUAUAAUAAUUAAAACUUUCAACAACGGAUCUCGUGGUUCUG